rnacentral:lncRNA from 1 species
UUUUUAGGGCCGCACCUACGGCAUAUGGACGUUCUCAGGCUAGGGGCUGAUUCAGAGCUGCAGCUGCUGGCCUACACCACAGUCACAGCAAUGCCAGAUCCGAGCCAUAUCAGCAGCUUACACCACAGCUCACAGCAACACUGGGUCAUAGUAACCUAGAGGGUCCAGAGCUCUCAGAUACAGAUACUGGCUCAGUGGUAAUGAACCCAACUAGUAUCUCUGAGGAUGUGGGUUUAAACCCUGGCCUCGCUCAGUGGGUUAAGGAUCUGGCGUUGCCAUAAGCUGCCAUGAAGGUCCCAGAUGCAGCUCAGACCCCACGUUGCUGUGGCUGUGGUGUAGACCUACAGCUGCAGCUACAAUUCCUAGCCUGGGAACUGCCAUAUGCUGCGGGUGCAGCCCUAAAAAGACAGAGAGAUAAGAUAAAAUGCAGCCGGAGAGUAAAGCCUCACCUGUACAGCUGGAAUGGGGCCCAUCAAUCAGAGAUGAUUCUUUGGGGUGGGGGUGGGGGAAGGGUGGUGAAACUGAUUUGGUUUUUGUGUUUAGAGGUUUUUGUGGUUGUCCUUGUUGCUGUUCAGUGGAAAUAUCAAGUGAAAGUCAAAUGGGAAAAAGGUACAUUUUGAGCCAAUUUGCUUCCUCAUCCCUUGGCACACUGAUGAAGGUAUUCACCCCCAGGGGCAUAAUUGUUCUUCACUUGUGACUUUGUUGUAGAGGAAACUUUUGUUUCCAGAGGCGCAGGCUACACAGCACGGAGUGGAAUAGAAAUAUGGCGAUUAUCCAGUUCAUUUACUUGCUGUACACAGCCAGACAAACCAAUCCAGGUAGCACGGGCUAUAAAAACAUCCGGAGGUGCCUGAAUUAUCCAGGUUCACGACUAACACUGCUCAGAUACACUGGAUCACAGCCAGGCUUGCACCUCGUUUUGUGCUUUUAAACAUAGUGCCAGGGGAACCUGCAGGGGCAGACUGUGAAGGGAAGGGGCAGGUAGAAGUAACCCCUGGACCCAGGUGACAUCUGAUGAGGGUGACAUUAGGCUUGGCGCAGCUCCAGCUGCACUGUCUGCAAAGCACUUGUCACAUGGAAGGCAGGGCGGCCUGCCAAAAUACAGACACCGGGACCAACCGAAGGAUAAUUGCUGUAAACUCCAUACAGAGAGUGAAGACAGAGAUGUCAGCAAAACAUGUCUCCUGGCUGGACAGCAGCACACACAGGACUGCAGGGUAGAGUUGGACAAGAAAGGGAAGAUUUUUUGAAAAGGCCAAAUUUGUUCAAAGCAGGUAUGGCAGGCCAGCUAGAAGACAUGUCAGUCAAGGACUAGACUCUCCUCUCAGAGGUACUUCUGUCACUUGACCAUGACAGCUUCUCAAAACUAAGUAGAAGGAAAAAUUAUAGCAAGAUAUCCUCCAGGCAUGGUAUUGCUUCUGACUGCAAUUUAAGAAAAGGGGAGAUUAACCCAUGUUUGUUUGGCCCCUCCUAAGUGCCAGGUCUCUUUCUGGGUACCCUGCAAAUGUCUUGCAAAUGUGGCUAAUUUGGUGGAGGAGGUUGAACCUAGGGAUUGGCCACCCUUAAGGGGCUCUUGUUUGGACUUUAGGGAAUCCCUAAAUUUCCAAAAAUUGUAUGGAAAUGUGUGCAUGAAUUUUUUUUCCCCCCUGGAGAAGACACCAUGGCUUUCAUCAGAUUCUCCAACCACAAGAUCAGGAAUUACAGUUACCUGGACAAAUAAUGAAGGAUGAAGGAAUUGAGAUCUAUGGAACAUUCUCUGCCCAGCCCUGUACCUGGUGACAUCAUUUAAUGCCCCUCCCACCCCCAAGAUAAGUGGCAUUGUCCCCAUUUUACAGUUAAGAAAAAGUAAGGCCAAAAGAGGAUGGAAAGCCUUACCAAGUAAACAUGCCAGUAUCCGUAAGACCUGAAAUGUAAACUCAGACUCCACUGGUCCAAACCCGAUGCCUGUCUAGGAUACUAUGCUCCCUGGGUGUUUUAUUGGGAUGGGGAAGAAGGGAAAGAAUUCAUUCAGGGAGGCACCAAGGAAGACCAUUGUAACAUUUUAGCUGGCUCUUCUAGAAUGUGUUGAGUUGGGACAUCUCGAAGUAGAAGACAGGAAAUCCCAGGUGGAGGGGACAAGGUCAGAGGCAGAGCAGUGAGAAGGGACAAAACAUUGAGGGAGGAUGGCCCCCUCCCUCCUAUGGGGUCAGGGCUCUCCUAAAGGCUCAAGAGCCAAAAAACAGUCACAGGACCAAGUGCCUCCAGGAGUUAAACUUCAGGCCCACUUAGUUUUAAACUCCUGUCACCCAAACCCCAGCACAACCGGAGGAUAGCGACCCUUAGCAGAGACCCUGACAACAAGCCCAGGAACCGCUUAACACUCAGCAUCAAUUCAAACAAGUGCAUUUUUGUUUAUUUCUAAUGCAUCUUGAGCCGGGAGAGCAGCUUUACUGCAGGUCAGGAAGAAGCCAAGAGCUUACCCAGAGCGGCUGGCGUCCACACAGCAACACGCAGCCUCUCGAGAAGUAAAAGAUCAUCCAUUAAGUGUUCGGGUUUAAUGCAUUUCCAUUCCCCCCAAGAUGCUCCUGUCUCAUUAUAAAUAAUAUCCAGAGUAAAAUAUCCCAUGUGCGCCCCAACACAUUUAAUCAGGCUUUCAGAGGCGCAUGGACUCUACUGUGGGCUCUUGCUGCCUCCUGAAAUGGAAAAGCACGCAUAUGAGCAUGGAAUCCCAUGCAACUGAAUUGUGGUUUUAAAUCCUGUGAUUAGCAGACUGCACAGUCUUGUCCCAGUGUGCUUGCCCCCCUCUCCCUAGCCUUGGAGACACAACAUACACCUCUUUGGACCAUCAGCAGCAGCCACACUUUCUUCAGCCCUGGUGUUAUUUUUAGCACUUGACUCUAUAAAGGAACAAUUUCACAAGCAUUAUUAAGGCUCAGGUUACAACUCCAACCAAAUCUUCUCAUUGCUUGUAAAUGAAUUCAAGUAUAUCAUAGCCCAAACCUCUGCAGACUCCCUGGAUGGGAAUUCUUGAGAUUUUAUUCCCCAUAAAUAGAAAGUCAAAAAACAUUAAAGGAUAAAGGUACAGGUUAUUCAUCUUGUCUCAGCAGAUCAUAAGUUCCUCGAGGGCAGGGAGAGGUUAUUUGGCUGAUUGAUUUAAUAUUUAUUGAGUCAUAACUAUCUUCGUGGACCAUAGAAAUAAAUCCAUCAAUGCACUUCAUUACAAGAAAAAGCAUUGCCGUCUCUAGACAGGACCAAGAAGCAUUCUCUUUGAUGCCUUCUUUCCUUUAUACUGAUUAACAACUUGAAAGAGCAGCUUCUGUUCUAAAAAAUAUAUGUGUAGAAAACACUGUGUCCUCUAUUGCAUAAACCUGGAAUAAAAGAUCCUCCCUCUCCGAAAUAACUUGGUGGUAGGAAACAGUGUUGCUGCUGGAGACAGAGGCAGAGGAACAUGUCAUCCCUGAAAACACUUCACUUUCAAAGCACAUGAUUUCAAACGUCCUGUGUGAUUAGGAGAUUUCAGACUUAGUAUUCCUCAAACCAUGCUUUGGACUGAAAUGGAUGGGCUCCACAAGGAAACUUAAAAAUAAUUUUUUUUAAACACACCCCAAAAGCAGACAAAUUUCUACCAGCAUUACUACCAAGGUCAGGAAAUAUGUGCCCAUAAAUCCAUUAUUUGUGGGUGCCAGCCCAUCACCCUAAAGUGCUAUUUUUAGGCAGGGGGGAAACAACACGGAAAAAAUGGUGGCUGCAUGUCCCUGUCCCCACACCAACGGGCACCAGGACCGUCUACCAGAGGAGCACACCCCAGAGUUCCGGAAUCACUGUGAGCCCAGGGGCAGCAUGGGAUCCAUCCAGUGUGGAUGCCAUUUUGUAAACACAUCUAAUUUGGUUUUAAAUUUUAAUCCAUAAAGUCAUCACUGAAGGACUCCAGGCUGCUGAAAUGAUGAACCAACUGCUUCUAAAGCAGACGCAAAGGCACCAGACCAGUCAAGGGCUUUCUGUCCUGGCUCCCUUCAUUGCCUCCUGUAUUCCUCUUGUCUCUCAUUUCCUUCUCAGCAGUGUGCUGACUUUCUGGUGCAUGGGCUUCCGCUCACCAAAGAUUCUCUGUGGCUACCCAGCUGUCCUCUCUGUGUCCCUGUGUCUCUCUGAGUGCCUGUCCAUCUGUGUGUAUCUCUCUGUCUCUCCCUGUCUCUCUUCCAUACACAUAUACACACACUGAGGUCCUUUGCCUUUUUCUGACCCUGUAUUCCAGUCACUGCCUCCUCUACUCUUCCAAUUUGAUCUACUUCUCUAACAUAAACAUUGUUCUUUAACAAAGAGAUCAGGCUGAGUUUGGAGGAAAGAAAUUAUCUUAAAGAGCUGAUGGCAGGAAACAUGGCUGACUGACAAAAGGACUGACUGAAAGCAGCUCUUUUGCCUCUUUUCUUUCUGCCCAUUUCUGUUCCCCUCUAACCUUAAAAGAACCUAAUUAGGAGUUCUUCUGCGGCUCAGCAGGUUAAGGAUGCAGUGUUGUCACAGUAGUGGCCCAGGUAGCUGCUAUGGCACAGGUUCCAUCCCCAGCCCGGGAACUUCCAUAUGCCUUGGGUGUG